UACGAAGGGGGCUAGCGUUGCUCGGAAUCACUGGGCGUAAGGGGUGCGUAGGCGGGUCUUUAAGUCAGGGGUGAAAUCCUGGAGCUCAACUCCAGAACUGCCUUUGAUACUGAGGAUCUUGAGUUCGGGAGAGGUGAGUGGAACUGCGAGUGUAGAGGUGAAAUUCGUAGAUAUUCGCAAGAACACCCGUGGCUAAGGCGGCUCUCUAGUACGGUACUGACGCUGAGACGCGAAAGCGUGGGGAGCGAACAGG
rnacentral:rRNA from 1 species